GCCUAACACAUGCAAGUCGAACGGAGCCAUCUAAACAAUCCCUUCGGGGUGCGUUUGGGGAAGCUUAGUGGCGGACGGGUGAGUAACGCGUGAGUAACCUGCCUUUCAGAGGGGGAUAACGUUCCGAAAGGAACGCUAAUGCCGCAUAACGUAUUCUUACCGCAUGAUAGAGAUACCAAAGAUUUAUCGCUGAAAGAUGGACUCGCGUCUGAUUAGCUAGUUGGAGGGGUAACGGCCCACCAAGGCGACGAUCAGUAGCCGAACUGAGAGGUUGAUCGGCCACAUUGGGACUGAGAAACGGCCCAGACUCCUACGGGAGGCAGCAGUGGGGGAUAUUGCGCAAUGGGGGAAACCCUGACGCAGCAAUGCCGCGUGAAGGAAGAAGGUCUUCGGAUCGUAAACUUUUGUCUUCAGGGACGAUAUUGACGGUACCUGAGGAGGAAGCCACGGCUAACUACGUGCCAGCAGCCGCGGUAAAAC
rnacentral:rRNA from 1 species